rnacentral:rRNA from 1 species
CGGCGGCGUGCCUAAUACAUGCAAGUCGAGCGGACAGAAGGGAGCUUGCUCCCGGAUGUUAGCGGCGGACGGGUGAGUAACACGUGGGUAACCUGCCUGUAAGACUGGGAUAACUCCGGGAAACCGGAGCUAAUACCGGAUAGUUCCUUGAACCGCAUGGUUCAAGGAUGAAAGACGGUUUCGGCUGUCACUUACAGAUGGACCCGCGGCGCAUUAGCUAGUUGGUGAGGUAACGGCUCACCAAGGCGACGAUGCGUAGCCGACCUGAGAGGGUGAUCGGCCACACUGGGACUGAGACACGGCCCAGACUCCUACGGGAGGCAGCAGUAGGGAAUCUUCCGCAAUGGACGAAAGUCUGACGGAGCAACGCCGCGUGAGUGAUGAAGGUUUUCGGAUCGUAAAGCUCUGUUGUUAGGGAAGAACAAGUGCAAGAGUAACUGCUUGCACCUUGACGGUACCUAACCAGAAAGCCACGGCUAACUACGUGCCAGCAGCCGCGGUAAUACGUAGGUGGCAAGCGUUGUCCGGAAUUAUUGGGCGUAAAGGGCUCGCAGGCGGUUUCUUAAGUCUGAUGUGAAAGCCCCCGGCUCAACCGGGGAGGGUCAUUGGAAACUGGGAAACUUGAGUGCAGAAGAGGAGAGUGGAAUUCCACGUGUAGCGGUGAAAUGCGUAGAGAUGUGGAGGAACACCAGUGGCGAAGGCGACUCUCUGGUCUGUAACUGACGCUGAGGAGCGAAAGCGUGGGGAGCGAACAGGAUU